rnacentral:lncRNA from 1 species
CUCAGCAGCAAAUUGCCCUUUCAGUACUUGGUCAAUUGUAUUAUUUGUGACUGCUUUGGGAAUUUUAGGGAUAAAGUUUUAAUCCUAGUAGCAUCACAUGUUUGUUCUUUCAGAGAGAUUUAUUUUCUGCUAGGGUUUGUGGAUUUCCUGCUGAUGUCAGGCUGAGCUUUCAUACAUACUCAGCAUUUUUGCUCUAUUCAAGUUGGUGGUGAGGAUCCUCCUCCGUAUUUGUACUUUUCAUCAUGACGGCCAUUGUGACUGGGAUCACUGACGUCAGCACAUCAUCCACUGAGUUUCACGGUCAUUGGUCAUUCAUUCAGAAUCAGGCUUGUGCUUAAUACUGUGAGGGAGAUCCAAACACAGAGGCAAUGGUUCUUGCCGUAAAAGACUCUAUAGUAUUUAGGAGAUAACUCAGGAUAGUUCAAGUUUGUUCUGGGGCUGAGUAGGGAAGGCCUGUGUUAUGAGUUACCUCUUAUUAGGAAGCAUGCUAUAUAGGACAGAUCCAAAGUGGAGCUGCUGUGGCCGGCGGGAGAGUGAUGGAGCCAGGCUGGAAACUAGGAUGCUUUUUCUGUUCUUUACCUCAUUGUCCUCUGUGGUGGUUGUAUUGUAAAGUAAAAU